rnacentral:rRNA from 1 species
GCCCUACGGGGCGCAGCAGUGGGGAAUAUUGCACAAUAGGGGAAACCCUGAUGCAGCAACGCCGCGUGAGUGAAGAAGUAUUUCGGUAUGUAAAGCUCUAUCAGCAGGGAAGAAGAUGACGGUACCUGAGUAAGAAGCCCCGGCUAACUACGUGCCAGCAGCCGCGGUAAUACGUAGGGGGCAAGCGUUAUCCGGAUUUACUGGGUGUAAAGGGAGCGUAGACGGUGAGACAAGUCUGAAGUGAAAGCCCGGGGCUCAACCCCGGGACUGCUUUGGAAACUGUAUUUCUAGAGUGUCGGAGAGGG